rnacentral:misc_RNA from 1 species
UGAAAGGCGAAACGUAAUGUGAAUCGCAACUAACAGUGAAUCAUUGAAUCUUUGAACGCAGGCCGCAGCUCAUGACAUCGCUUUUGUGUUGUUAUAAGCUAUCUACGUAUGAGUGUCAGCCUAAUAUCAUUUUAUGGUUCAAGAAGAGUGUCACUUGUGACUCAGACUCUUGGAUACAGACUUUAUAGUAAUAUGAAUGUCUGGCCUCAUAUGUGGAAGAUUACCCGCUGGAUUUAA